ACUUUCACUAGAACAAAGUGACUCAGCUUCUUUGAGGAGAUGAACAACAAGGCUACUUCCUCUUUAGAAACUACUAAAGCAGCUCCAUCCAGAUGAUUCCAUCGCUCAGCUGACUGAUCGAAGUGGCACAGAACUUUGCUCGCUCCUUCGCCGACAAACAGACAAGAUGACCAUCGCUGUCUUUACCAUCGUCAUGACCACUCUUGCCCUUUCUCUUGGUAUACCUUGUCAUGAUUACUACAACCUAAAUCCAUACCAACAAUUUCUUUGCAAACACGUCCUUCUGGAGAAAGUUAAGAAAGAUGAUAAGACUUCUUGGGAAGGGUACAUACAGAAGUAUGGUCUCUGCAACAGACCUAGUCAGACCUUCAUGGUGAGGAAAACCGUCGAAAAGAUCUGUCAGGGCUAUGGCCAACCGCUGCACUAUACAUGUAAUAACAUUGGGAAGUCCUGCACCAGUGACUCACCCAUGACCCUUUACCAUAUCAAGGUCAACAACAAUUGCAAGGUAACAGCUAUAUCCACUCGCCAAGAAUAUGGGAUUGUGUUUUGUAAUAAAGUUGAUAACCAAUGCCGUCCUACCCAUUUUGAGAGGUCUGACAGGAGAAAGCCAAAUUGGACUGCUCAACCCUGUCGUUCUUAGAAGAGCAGACACGUUUUAGAGGGUUAGAAGACAUUGUAUUCCAGUUCUUAACCCCUGUCUAGCUUAGCUUAAUUAGGCCUUUUUUGCUUACAUGAAAACAUGUUAUUUUGUUCUUAUGCUGCACAAUAACACCUGUUACUUAUUGACCUCGGUCAUUAUAACGUGUGGCUAAUUUCAAUUCAAUCAGAAACUGUACACACACCUGUUUGUUGAAAGUGUAUUGUCAUCUUACCUCAAAGUUAAUUGGUUGACUGUCCAUAUUAAACUGUUGGUUUCCAUUUUUGGUGAAGUGUCAAUCCAGAUAAUUGUCGGUCUGUGUGUACUCUCUCUGAAAAUGUUUGUGAAGCUGUAUUGAAAUCCUGUUGGUGUUGCUUUAAAUAUUGUCAAAUAAAUAGCUUGAAGCUGCAUGAAUCAA